rnacentral:miRNA from 1 species
ACAUUGGUGUGUGUGUGUGUGUGUGUGUGUGUGUAUGUGUGUGUGUGUGUAUAUAUAUAUAUACAUAUAUAUAUAUAUAUAUACACACACAUAUACACACAUACACACACCAAUGU